AACAGGCUGAUAGCCGGCGAGAGUACACAUUGUCCCGGCUGUUUGGCACCUUGACUAAAAUUAAUAAACAAUAUUACAAAAACUAAAUCUGUUAUGUUAAAUUUUUGUUUUAUUUAGUAAAUGUGUUAUAUUUUUUUUAUAUAAUUAAUAUUUAUUAAACUUAAAAUGACAGAACAUAUACACGAUUCAAGGAUUUUUAUAAUAAAUGAAACACUUUAAUUUUUUUAUAGAAUAAAGUGAUUAUAAUAGAUAUUGAUUUAAACAUCGGGGAAUUUUAAUAGAAAUAUUAACUUAGAAAUUGGCUAUUUGCUGAAACUUCCUUAGAGCUUUUGAAAAUAUUUAAGAAAAAUAUAAUAUCAUUUUAAUUAUUUUUAUAAUUAUCUGAAUAGAAUAAGUUAAUUAAUUUAUUUUAUUUUAUUUUAUUUUAUUUAAAUUUAAAAUUCAAAAUGAUUGGGAAAUUGGCAGGGAAGUUUUAAUUUAGAUAAUUAGUUAUCUUUAACAGAUUAAAACCCCUCAACGAUCACACGCCAACAUCCAGAACUAAAUUUUAAUUGUACUUUAAAAAUGGAUGAAGAUAUGAGCUAAAUUUAUAUGAAAAUAUAGAUGUAAAUUGCGAU
rnacentral:ncRNA from 1 species